AACCGCUAUUUUAUCAACCCAAAC
rnacentral:siRNA from 1 species